AUCAACGCCUUCGCCUCGCACGAGCGCCUCGCCGUUAGCGGGGAGACCACCGAAACCCGUUGGUUUCUUUAGCUGCCGAAUUUAGCAUGCUAACACCACAGGACCGUCGGAGAGUUUAACGUUAUACCAACGGGCUUUCCGUUAACUUCCAGUGGAUUCAACACGCCGCUGUGGGUGUGAUGCUCAGGGACCCUAAGAAGGCUCAGCUGUGUUCUCUCCAGAAAGAUCCAAACCGCAACACCUCAGAUUCUCACUCGGGAGCCGCAGAGAACAAGGACAGGCGUGUUCUGACGGUCACUGAGCUGUUCCACUGGAGCAGUUAGAGUGACCCCGCCAAAACGCCUGACAGGCUGCUUCUGAAUGCCCGAGUUCCUCUCCGGGAUUACUGAAAACCGCCCAGCACAGAUACGCGGAUGAAGCGGACUACAUUACGGAAAUGGAUCCCUUGAGUCCGCCAGGCAGCUAUGAGAGGCCUACGAGCCUUUGGGGUCACCUUACCAUGCACAGGUGCCGGCACGCUGACGAGCCCACGAGGACAGCCGGGCCAAAGAUUUGGAACAAAAUUGGACGAAGCCCGCGUGGAUCGCGCAGCCGAACCCACCUGAGGCCGUAGAGGACGGUUCCGUCUGGAUGCAGGCGGAUCAUUCGGUUCUUGACGGUGACUCCGUGGACGAAGGACUUCUU